rnacentral:rRNA from 1 species
AGAUCAAAUUGUUGGUUGUGCCUUGGUACGUACUGGCAUUAUUGAUUUCUCCCUUCUGAAGAACCACGAUGUCAUUAAUUUGGUGUCAUGGGAAAUCAGGACUGUUACUUUGAAAAAAUUAGAGUGUUUAAAGCAGGCUCACGCUUGAAUACAUUAGCAUGGAAUAAUGAAAUAGGACGUUUGAUUCUAUUUUGUUGGUUUCUAGGAUCGACGUAAUGAUUAAUAGGGAUAGUUGGG